GAAUGUUCAUGUAUGUUGCAUUUGAACAAGAGAAAGUUUGUUGACACAGUUUGUCCUCAUACUUAAUGUUCCAGAUGCGUUUCAAAGGCUCCCUGAUUGUGGUAUUGAGUCAACAGCACCGUGUCACCGARCCCCCGGACAUUUAAAGGGAGCUGACAGACCAAAAUGUAACACCGACACAAUACCGAUGGUAGCUACCAGCAGUAAACAACAUACUAUGUCUAUUCCAGCUCUCUCUGCAAAGCAGUCUGUGUUUAUCACGCUCCCUGAUGAAGUAGGAAGCAUCAGCCACGGUUCUGCCUCAGAGAGCGGGGAGGUGGAGAGGAGCGGAGAGAACACGAUCUGAAGCUCUGACAGCUUAAGUGGCGGAACUCGGUUUCUCUGAAGAACUCUGCUUGCACAUAAAGGAGGCGCGCGGCGUCUGAAUGGGCCUCAGCUGCACGCAGCCGCAGCCGUUCCAGCUCUGAAUGGGAGUCAGCUGCACUUGGCUUGUUCCGAUCGCUUCUGCUCUUUAGCCACCCGCACUGAAAGAACAGGAAGAAGGAGAGAGCGGCGGAGAGAGGAAACAACCCCCCCCAAAAAAAACGAGUAGAAAUGUGGACAGGAAAGGGAGGCUAUGAGACGGUGAGAAUCCCACACCGGCCCAUCCACACACAGCACCAGCAURAACAUGGAAAAAGAAACGCUGGAGAAAUAGAAUCUGCCAGCAAGGAAACAAAAAUAUAACAGACAUAAUCAAAGGGAACAAUGAGAAUGACGAGAAACAAAUGAACAAAGUGAUUCAGGCCCAAUGCUGUCAGAAGGCAUAAUGAAACUUCAGCCUGGAGGAUUCAUUAGAGAGAAUUGAUGCUAAAUGAACGUCAUUAGCACGUUUGCACCUYGCAGGGAGCCUUAGGAGAGGCGGGAGGGAGCGGGAAGAGCCCAGAGAGGAAGAAAUCAGUCCAACGUUGUCCACACGUUUCAACCCAACCAGGACAGGCUCGUCCAAACAAACCGUCACGCUGCAGCAGCUUUGUUACAGAGCUACAGCCGCCCCCUCCUCUCCACACCUACUCACCAACCCGGCUCUGCCACCAUCUGCCUGGGCGGCUCAGAGGAGCAGCAACUCUAGGUUGACUACAUCUACGCUGUAUCGUGACUUCAUGUAGCACACAGAGGCAUGGAUUCCUGCUACAACGUGACACGGAGUGAUGUAGGGGUGGGAAUUUAUAGCAUUGUAUAUCGUUUAUCAUUUAUCGUGAUACAUUGUCACAUUAAAUUCCAAUUAAUGUUUAAAAGAAACUG